GAAGCUAGUGCUUGGAGUCUAGUGUAGUCUCCUUAGUGGGUCAUGCUCUGGUAGAUGUAACAUCGGGAUGGGAUGUUUUAACUAUGUUUUCAUUUGGUUGUUGAACAACUUUACAUGUAAUGUAUUACAUGGUUUGAAUGUUGUUAGUUUGUAUCCGCUGCGUAUUAUGCAAAUGUUUUAUUUUGAUUAAAUAAAUGAGCAUGACAGGAUAUUUUGGAAAA
rnacentral:lncRNA from 1 species